rnacentral:rRNA from 1 species
UACCAGCUCUCCGAGUGGUAGGGAUGAUUAUUGGGCUUAAAGCGUCCGUAGCCGGCUUAGCAAGUCUCCUGUUAAAUUCAGCGACCUAAUCGUUGAGCCGCGGGAGAUACUACUAGGCUAGGAGGCGGGAGAGGUCAACGGUACUUCCGGGGUAGGGGUGAAAUCCUAUAAUCCCGGGAGGACCACCAGUGGCGAAGGCUGUUGACUAGAACGCGCUCGACGGUGAGGGACGAAAGCUGGGGGAGCGAACCGGAUUAGAUACCCGGGUAGUCCCAGCUGUAAACGAUGCGAGCUAGGUGUUGGGGUGGCUACGUGCCACUUCAGUGCCGCAGGGAAGCCAUUAAGCUCGCCGCCUGGGGAGUACGGCCGCAAGGCUGAAACUUAAAGGAAUUGGCGGGGGAGCACCACAGGGCGUGAAGCUUGCGGUUC